rnacentral:tRNA from 1 species
CAGGGAGACAACAAAAUGUUUAAUAUUAUUAUUUUGUCACCUUAGGUCGAUCGGUAUCUCACGUUUUUAAUUUAUUAAGAAUUUCAUUUCCUAAGUUUUUCUAGGUCACACCCAUUAUUUUCCUGGGCCAUUAGCUCAGGUGGUUAGAGCGCACCCCUGAUAAGGGUGAGGUCCCUGGUUCAAGUCCAGGAUGGCCCAUAUCUCUAUGUUGGGGGUAUAGCUCAGUUGGUAGAGCGCCUGCUUUGCAAGCAGGAUGUCAGCGGUUCGAGUCCGCUUACCUCCACUGAUUACCACCUCUUCCAUAACCGGUAUAAAGGAAAUGUUUUGAGUUGUGAUCAAAUUCUGAAAGAAUCUAGCUUCCUAAUGAAUUCAUUAAGAUGCUGGACUCAUUGAAUUAAUUUCAUUGUUUUCAGAGAACCUUGACAACUGCAUAGAUUAUUUUUAAAGACAAUAAGCAUCUUUGAUGAUGCAGAUUUAUUAUUUGUGCGAAUGCAUUAAUAACAAUUCUAUUAAGCUGAUGCUUCAAUUUUUGAAGUUAUU